rnacentral:rRNA from 1 species
UACGUAGGGUGCAAGCGUUUGUCCGGAAUUAUUGGGCGUAAAGAGCUCGUAGGCGGUUUGUCGCGUUCUGCUGUGAAACUCAGGGCUUAACCCUGAGCCUGCAGUGGGUACGGGCAGACUAGAGUGUGGUAGGGGAGAUCGGAAUUCCUGGUGUAGCGGUGGAAUGCGCAGAUAUCAGGAGGAACACCGGUGGCGAAGGCGGAUCUCUGGGCCAUACCUGACGCUGAGGAGCGAAAGUGCGGGUGGGAGAACAGG